rnacentral:rRNA from 1 species
CCUACGGGUGGCAGCAGUGGGGAAUAUUGGACAAUGGGGGCAACCCUGAUCCAGCCAUGCCGCGUGUGUGAAGAAGGCCCUCGGGUUGUAAAGCACUUUCAGUGAGGAAGAACGCCUGGUGGUUAAUACCCAUCAGGAAAGACAUCACUCACAGAAGAAGCACCGGCUAACUCCGUGCCAGCAGCCGCGGUAAUACGGAGGGUGCGAGCGUUAAUCGGAAUUACUGGGCGUAAAGCGCGCGUAGGUGGCUUGAUAAGCCGGUUGUGAAAGCCCCGGGCUCAACCUGGGAACGGCAUCCGGAACUGUCAAGCUAGAGUGCAGGAGAGGAAGGUAGAAUUCCCGGUGUAGCGGUGAAAUGCGUAGAGAUCGGGAGGAAUACCAGUGGCGAAGGCGGCCUUCUGGACUGACACUGACACUGAGGUGCGAAAGCGUGGGUAGCAAACAGGAUUAUAUACCCGGGUAGUC